AAAUAAAUUUUAUGGAGAUAAGAGUGGUGCCAGGGAGACCUCCCGGUUUGCCCAGCAUUGAGAGGUUUCCCAGAAUUUGAGAUUUUCAGGUUUUAUUUUUUAUUUUAUUGUAUUGUAUUUUAUUUUUUUGAGGUGGAGUCUUGCUCUGUCGCCCAGGCUGGAGUGCAGUGGCGCCAUCUCAGCUCACUGCAAGCUCCACCUCCUGGAUUCACACCAUUCUCCUGCCUCAGCCUCCCGAGUGGCUGGGAUUACAGGCGCCCGCCACCACGCCUGGCUAAUUUUUUGUAUUUUUAGUAGACAUGGGGUUUCACCGAGUUAGUCAGAAUGGUCUCGCUCUCCUGACCUCGUGAUCCGCCCGCCUCAGCCUCCCAAAGUGCUAGGAUUACAGGCGUGAGCCACCGUGCCCAGCCUGAGACUUUCAGGUUUUAAAAAACAGCUUUAUUGAGAUAGAAUUUAUAUUCCCAUAUACCUCGUUCACUUAAUGAGCAUAUCAAUGUUUUUUAGUAUAUUCACAGGGUUGUGAAAUUAUCACGGCAAUCUUAUUUUAGAAUAUUUUCCUCCCUCUUAAAACGAACCUCAUACCCAUUAGCGGUCACUCCUCGAAUAAAGUUAGCAGAAUGAUGCCACAGUC
rnacentral:lncRNA from 10 species